GUCUACGGCCAUACCACCCUGAAUGUACCUGAUCUCGUCUGAUCUUGGAAGCUAAGCAGGGUCAGGCCUGUUCCCGGUUGGAUGGGAGUCCAACCUGUCACUGUCCCUGAUGUUCUCGUCA
ensembl:rRNA 5S_rRNA 5S ribosomal RNA